AUUGGUUACGCUGUUGUGUAUAUUUCUCUGUCAGCACCGCGGACCCAGCUGAACUGGCAGAGCACUUCAAAGGCCUGCGGGUCAUUCAUCAUCCCCAUGACGCUCCGGCAAAUGCUCAGCUUCAGCCCCGCGCCAGGGAUUUGUUAUGACUUGCGAGCCGCCUGACAGACAGGGCCGUGGCGGCCGGGAGGGGACGCGCGGGAGGCGGGCUCCGGGCCCUUCCUGUCACGCCGGGCCCACGACUCCGACUCGGACGGCAGGCGGCGGCGCGGGGCCGUGACAUGAUUAAUCGUUUUCUUCUGAUCUAAUUUUGGAACAUGAAAAACAGCACAUUUGUCUUGAAGAAAAAUGAUGUGCCGAACUGCGCAGAUGGAAAUUUCGAGCAAUGAGAAAGAUUAAAGUGAAACCCCACUCCUUAGACCUAAUCAUGAGUUGUAGAUUAUUCUGUCGGCCCAGCCAGAUGGUAGCUCUGAUUCCACAGCCCCUUCUUAUAUUAAUGAAUACUCGACUGUUAUAUUUGACUUAGCCUUCUCAUCUGUAACUGGUGAAUCCGGAAGAGAUUGUUGUUCAAGAGGAAAUCUUGUGUUACUCUUUAUGAAGGACUCCAGCCUGGUGGGGAUGAAUGAGUCCUGAAGAUGGAAUCUGAAAGCUGUUUGGGCACAA